rnacentral:misc_RNA from 1 species
GAUGAAGAACGCAGUGAAAUGCGAUACUUGGUGUGAAUUGCAGAAUCCCGUGAACCAUCGAGUCUUUGAACGCAAGUUGCGCCCGAAGCCAUUAGGCCGAGGGCACGCCUGCCUGGGCGUCACACGUCGUUGCCCCCCCAUCUACUCCUUCGGGAUUGCGGGGGGCGGAUGAUGGCCUCUCGUGCGCCUCGUCGCGCGGUUGGCCUAAAUGCCAAGUCCUCGGCGACGCACGCCACGACAAUCGGUGGUUGCGAAACCUCGGUUGCCUGUCGUGUGCGGUCAUCGCGCAUCGAGGGCUCGAAAAAAUUGCCGGGCUUCGGCUCGACUUUCAACGCGACCCCAGGUCAGGCGGGGUUACCCGCUGAAUUUAAGCAUAUCAAUAAGCGGAGGA